rnacentral:misc_RNA from 1 species
GCGAGUAAGACCCUGCCCUAGUGGCUCGGUCAGUCCCAUCAUAUACACCUUUAUUCGUGAACUCGUGGUUCAGCUGGACGAUGAAGGCUUUGGCGACUAGCCGUCCGUCGGUUCCGCUCUUUAUACCCUUUAUGUGAAGUCAAUGGAAAUUAUGAUAAUCUAAUA